rnacentral:tRNA from 1 species
GCCUGGGUGGCUCAGUCGGUUAAGCGUCCGACUUCGGCUCAGGUCAUGAUCUCACGGUGUGUGGGUUCGAGCCCCGCGUCAGGCU